UGUACACUGGUGUGGAGGCAUAUAAAGUUUUGAUCUUUAAGGAAGAGGUGAAAGUCCUUUGUGUUCAA
rnacentral:tRNA from 1 species